AAUAGAUACCCCGGUAGUCCACGCCGUAAACGUUGGAUACUAGGUGUGGCGGUCUUACCAACGACUGCCGUGCCGAAGCUAACGCAUUAAGUAUCCCGCCUGGGGAGUACGGCCGCAAGGCUAAAACUCAAAGGAAUUGACGGGUCCCCGCACAAGCGGCGGAGCAUGCGGCUUAAUUCGAUGCAACCCGAAGAACCUUACCUGGGUUUGACAUCACGGGAAAAGCUGUAGAAAUACAGUGUCCAUUAGGGCCCGUGACAGGUGGUGCAUGGCUGUCGUCAGCUCGUGUCGUGAGAUGUUGGGUUAAGUCCCGCAACGAGCGCAACCCUUGUCCUAUGUUGCCAGCGGUUCGGCCGGGGACUCAUAGGAGACUGCCGGGGAUAACUCGGAGGAAGGUGAGGACGACGUCAAGUCAUCAUGCCCCUUAUAUCCAGGGCUGCACGCAUGCUACAAUGGCCGGUACAACGGGCAGCGAUCCCGCGAGGGUGAGCGAAUCCUAAAAAGCCGGUCCUAGUUCGGAUUGAAGUCUGCAACUCGA
rnacentral:rRNA from 1 species